AGUGUUGAAUCCAUGAAAUGUAUUUAAAAGCUCCUCAUGGGCAAUUUUAUGCUCUUCAUUGAUGGAUGAUACACAGAGGGACAGCACCUGCCUUUUAGCCUGCAGGAACUUGGUGCACGGUGAUACUAAAACCCACCCCCUGAGACACGAGCCCCUUGCCCACAGGGACCCUGACUCAUGGGAGGUGUUGUUCCCCCGAGGAACACGCACCUUGCUCUCUGCUGUUCCAUACAACCCCUAUUCCAUGUGCCUGGAAUGCUGCGAUGUUCCCGCAGCACCUCCCUGCUCCCACCCCCACCAUUGCCCCCCCACAGCCGCAGGCACCGCUGUGCUGCCCCCCGAUCCGCUAGGGGGCGACUCCGCUGAGCUGCCCGUGCUCCGCUAGGGGGCGCCAUCACUCUGCUCUGCUCUCCACUAGGGGGUGACAUCACUGUGCUGCCCUCCCUCCGCUAGGGGGCGCCACUUCUGUGCUGCCCUCCCUCCGCUAGGGGGCGACAACACACUGCUCUGCCCUCCGAUAGGGGGCGCAUCUGUGCUGCCCUCCCUCCGCUAGGGGGCGCCAUCACACUGCUCUGCCCUCCACUAGGGGGCGACAUCACUGUGCUGCCCUUCCUCCACUAGGGGGCGCCACAACUGUGCUGCCCCCCCGCUAGGGGGCGCCACAAUUGUGCUACUCUCCCCCCGCUAGGGGGCGCCUCUGUGCUACCCUCCCUCCGCUAGGGGGCGCCACUUCUGUGCUGCCCUCCCUCCGCUAGGGGGCGCCAUCACUCUGCUCUGCCCUCCACUAGGGGGCGACAUCACUGUGCCGCCCUUCCUCCACUAGGGGGGGCCACAAAUGUACUGCCCCCCCCCCCCGCUAGGGGGCGCCUAUGUGCUACCCUUCCUCCGCUAGGGGGCGCCACAACUGUGCUGCCCCCCCCCCCCCGCUAGGGGGCGCCACAAUUGUGCUACCCUCCCCCCGCUAGGGGGCGCCUCUGUGUUACCCUCCCUUCGCUAGGGGGCGCCACAACUGUGCUGCCCUUCAGCCACGGGGGGGGGGGUGGGGGGGUGGGCGGGUGGGGCUGCUGUGCUGCACCACCCCCACCCCCCUCUGGGGGGCACCACAACUGUGCUGCCCUCC
rnacentral:lncRNA from 1 species